GUGUUCCACGCUGUCGGUUCGCCGCCCGUCGGUGUUAACUGGCAUGUCCUGUGGAACGUCCUGCCGGUGGCGGUCCGGGCGUUCGGCUUGCGUAAAGGCUACGGUCCGAAGCGAGUCGAACAGUUCCGGCCGCCGGUCCAAUCCCGCCACGGUGCUCUUCACCGAGUGUCGAGGUGGGCCGGCACGUUUACUUUGAACAAAUUAGAGUGCUUAAAGCAGGCUGGUGUCCGCCUGAAUACUGUGUGCAUGGAAUAAUAGAAUAGGACCUCGGUUCUAUUUUGUUGGUUUUCGGAACCCGAGGUAAUGAUUAAUAGGGACAGGCGGGGGCAUUCGUAUUGCGACGUUAGAGGUGAAAUUCUUGGAUCGUCGCAAGACGAACCUAAGCGAAAGCAUUUGCCAAGUAUGUUCUCGUUAAUCAAGAACGAAAGUUAGAGGUUCGAAGGCGAUCAGAUACCGCCCUAGUUCUAACCAUAAACGAUGCCAGCCAGCGAUCCGCCGAAGUUCCUCCGAUGACUCGGCGGGCAGCUUCCGGGAAACCAAAGCUUUUGGGUUCCGGGGGAAGUAUGGUUGCAAAGCUGAAACUUAAAGGAAUUGACGGAAGGGCACCACCAGGAGUGGAGCCUGCGGCUUAAUUUGACUCAACACGGGAAACCUCACCAGGCCCGGACACCGGAAGGAUUGACAGAUUGAGAGCUCUUUCUUGAUUCGGUGGGUGGUGGUGCAUGGCCGUUCUUAGUUGGUGGAGCGAUUUGUCUGGUUAAUUCCGAUAACGAACGAGACUCUAGCCUGCUAACUAGGCGAUUUUCCGGUACCCACAAUUGUGUUACCGGCGAUUCAAUUUCUUCUUAGAGGGACAGGCGGCUCCUAGCCGCACGAGACUGAGCAAUAACAGGUCUGUGAUGCCCUUAGAUGUCCUGGGCCGCACGCGCGCUACACUGAAGGAAUCAGCGUGUCUUCCCUGGCCGACAGGCCCGGGUAACCCGUUGAACCUCCUUCGUGCUAGGGAUUGGGGCUUGCAAUUGUUCCCCAUGAACGAGGAAUUCCCAGUAAGCGCGAGUCAUAAGCUCGCGUUGAUUACGUCCCUGCCCUUUGUACACACCGCCCGUCGCUACUACCGAUUGAAUGAUUUAGUGAGGUCUUCGGACUGGUGCGCGGCGAUCGGUUCCGCCGGUCGCCGAUGUCUGCCGGAAAGAUGACCAAACUUGAUCAUUUAGAGGAAGUAAAAGU
rnacentral:rRNA from 1 species